UACGAGGGGUGCGAGCGUUGUUCGGAAUUAUUGGGCGUAAAGGGUGCGUAGGCGGUUUGGUAAGUCUUAUGUGAAAUCUAUGGGCUCAACUCAUAGUCUGCAUGAGAAACUGCCGGGCUUGAGUAUGGGAGAGGUGAGUGGAAUUCCUGGUGUAGCGGUGAAAUGCGUAGAUAUCAGGAGGAACACCUGUGGCGAAAGCGGCUCACUGGACCAUAACUGACGCUGAUGCACGAAAGCUAGGGGAGCAAACAGG
rnacentral:rRNA from 1 species